rnacentral:rRNA from 1 species
AGGUCCCACCUGCCCUGUGACAUAUGUUUAACGGCCGCGGUAUUUUGACCGUGCAAAGGUAGCGCAAUCACUUGUCUUUUAAAUGAAGACCUGUAUGAAUGGUAUGACGAAGGCUUAGCUGUCUCCUUUUCCCAGUCCAUGAAAUUGAUCUCCCCGUGCAGAAGCGGGGAUAAAAACAUAAGACGAGAAGACCCUAUGGAGCUUAAGACAAUAGUAGUAGACCAUGUUAAAUGGCUUUGAAUAAAAAGCUAAAAUUUCUUGCCCCCUACUUGUGUGUCUUUGGUUGGGGCGACCGCGGGGAAAUAGAUAACCCCCACGUGGAGUAGGAGGACCUCUCCCACAACCAAGAGCUACCACUCUAAGUAGCAGAACCUCUGACCAGAAUGAUCCGGGAAAACCGAUCAACGAACCGAGUUACCCUAGGGAUAACAGCGCAAUCCCCUUUAAGAGCCCAUAUCGACAAGGGGGUUUACGACCUCGAUGUUGGAUCAGGACAUCCUAAUGGUGCAGCCGCUAUUAAGGUUCGUUUG